rnacentral:lncRNA from 1 species
UGUAUGCUUGUAUUAUUCUAUUUGACAAAUUAUCACACUACAACAAAAACGGUCUAUAGCGACACUUUUAAAUAUCGGUAUAAGUCAAAAAAAAGUGCUGCUGGCUAAAUUACCGACACUUUUAAAAAGUGUUGCUAUAUGUGGGGUAGCUAGGUAUAUAGUGACGGUUAAAGAGUGCCACUAUAACCUAAAAAGAGUGCUGCUAAUUUACAAACACUUAUUUAAACAUUUAGCAACAGCCGAAAAUCUACCUCGUUGGCUGCGAUGGCGGAGGAGGACGAGAGGGAAGGGCUCUUCGUCUAAGAUUUCAGUGGAUUGAGUGAGGGGAGAAGGGGAGAUGGUAAUCGAUUUUUCUUCUUUUUUUAUUUUCUGUUUGUAAUCAGGCUGAAUGGGUUGGGUGGGGUGGGUUGAGCAAAGUAACUUUUUAUUUUUGGUUGGAUUGGGCUUUAUAUUUAAGCAUUAGUAGAUUUUUUAAAAAGUUUUGGUAUAAGUGGGACAUUUACAUAAAAGUGUCUCAAACAUGUGUCCCUAUAACCCAAUUCUGUUGUAAAUCAUUCAUAAUAAAAUGAAGAACAAUGCUAAAAA